rnacentral:rRNA from 1 species
AGAGUUUGAUCAUGGCUCAGGAUGAACGCUAGCUACAGGCUUAACACAUGCAAGUCGAGGGGCAGCAUGUUGGUUGCUUGCAACCAACGAUGGCGACCGGCGCACGGGUGAGUAACGCGUAUCCAACCUACCCUUGUCCAUCGGAUAACCCGUCGAAAGGCGGCCUAACACGAUAUGCGGUUCACAGCAGGCAUCUAACGUGAACGAAAUGUAAAGGAGAGGGAUGGGGAUGCGUCUGAUUAGCUUGUUGGCGGGGUAACGGCCCACAAGGCUACGAUCAGUAGGGGUUCUGAGACGGAAGGUCCCCCANAUUGGAACUGAGACACGGUCCAAACUCCUACGGGAGGCA